rnacentral:tRNA from 1 species
CCCGCCGUAGUACAAUGGAUAGUACAAGCGCCUCCUAAGCGUUAGAUGCAGGUUCGAUUCCUGCCGGGGGGACCA